rnacentral:rRNA from 1 species
AAAGGAAUAGACGGGGGCCCACACAAGCAGUGGAUCAUGCGGUUUAAUUCGAUACUGAACGAGGAACCUUACCCAGACUUGAUAUCUACGAAAGUCCGCAGAAAUGUAGACGUGCCCUCACGGGAAUCGUAAGACAGGUGCUGCAUGGUUGCCGUCAGCUCGUGCCUUGAGGUGUUCGGUUGAGUCCGUUAACGAGCGAAACCCAUGUCAUUAGUUAUUAUGUCUAAUGAGACUGCCCGAGUUAAUCGGGAGGAAGGUGUGGAUGACGUCAAAUCAGCAUGGCCCUUAUGUCUGGGGCUACACGCAUGAUACAAUGGUCGGUACAAAGAGUUGCAAACUGGCGACAGUAAGCUAAUCUCAUAAAGCCGAUCUCAGUCCGGAUUGGAGGCUGAAACUCGCCUCCAUGAAGUUGGAAUUGCUAGUAAUCGUGAAUCAGAUAUGUCACGGUGAAUAUGUUCCUGGGUCUUGUACACACCGCCCGU